GGUAGUCCUAGUGAAACGAAUCACCAAUGGUUCUGGUAAAGUCAUGCCGAAUCCAUCACCAGUUUGUGCAAAUACUUCUCCCUCCUCACUCUUGUAGCAUACUUGCAUCAGACCACGAUCUAGCAGAUCUUGCAGAAUUUCUUCAAACUCAACACACUCCUCAAUAGAGUGCUCAGCAUCUGGGUGGAGCGCGCAUGCCAUACUCCCAUCAUAAUCGCCUUUCAAGAUAC
rnacentral:lncRNA from 1 species